UACGUAGGGCGCAAGCGUUAUCCGGAAUUAUUGGGCGUAAAGAGCUCGUAGGCGGUUUGUCGCGUCUGCCGUGAAAGUCCGGGGCUCAACUCCGGAUCUGCGGUGGGUACGGGCAGACUAGAGUGAUGUAGGGGAGACUGGAAUUCCUGGUGUAGCGGUGAAAUGCGCAGAUAUCAGGAGGAACACCGGAGUCGGAAGGCGGGUCUCUGGGCGAUUAACUGACGCUGAGGAGCGAAAGCGUGGGGAGCGAACAGG
rnacentral:rRNA from 1 species